AGCAGCUCUCUGCCAACAAAGUGGCGUCGCACACUCCGCCCAGAGGAGCGUCGAAGGAUUGCAACACAUCUUCAGCAGAUUGGAGGUUAAUCUCUGUCAGCUCCAGCUCCUCCAGGUUGCACAGAGGCAUCUGCACUUGAUGACCAUUGGGGACCUGCAAUUCCCCCGUCAGACGCUGGCAGCACCUGCAGGACUGGUGGAAUUCCUGGAAUUCCUGGCGGAGGUCUUUGAUCUCCUUGGUCAGCUCCGCACAGUGCUGAUUAGUUUCUGCAACGCCACAUCUAUCGGCAGGAAUAAGGAUGCUCCUCCUCUGACUGCAUGUCUGUGGUGUCGCAGUUCUCCUCAAGGUACCUCUCCAGGCAUCUCUUAGCUUCCUCAAAGGUGUCUACAAACAGAGUUACUGUCAGGUACUGGCUCGUCCCUCCUCCUGAUGGCGGCACGGACCUUGACGGAGUCUUUUGGAGAGUAUGGCGGCCAGAAUGCUUUCUCCCCUUGUACCCAUGUGUGGGGUACGAGUUCAGUAGCACCGCUACUAAACUUAAUGACACACC